ACCUUGGAUUCACGUACAACUUCUUCGUUUCCACUGGGGAACCAGCACACCAAUAUCUCGCCAUUUUUAACUUUAACAUCUUCCUCGGACGACAAAGAACUUUCUUCAGAGUCAGAAAUAUUAUCUCCGCUCCUUAAAACAAGACCAAUUUUACUUGAACCGUCUUUAGUUUUCAAAAAACGAACGAUAUCUUCAGAAUGGAUAUGUUUUGGAGCCGCCAUCUUGGAUUCCUUUGACCCAGGUGUUUCGCGACAAAACCCGCGCGCAAAAUUCUAAUUGCAGAAUUAAUUAGCAGUAAAAUUUGUCUUUGUUUGUUUGUUUGUUUGUUUGUUUGUUUGUUUGUUUGUUUGUUUGUUUGUUUGUUUGUU